GAAAAGGGCAGUUACAGUUGUGGGGCUGGAAGGCUGAGGUGUGUGGUCAGGUGGUCCAUUACCAGUUUCCUCAGCCACUUUUCAGAGAUAAGUUUGGUUGUGGCCAUGCCUUUCAGGUAGGUAGUAGUACAUACCUCUUACUAGCAGAGGCAGGACCAGAUUGGACCAGCAUCCAUGAGCAUGUCUGGUAUGCCCAUGUAAAAGGAAGAAGAGGCGGGUUGGGGAUUUAGCUCAGCGGUAGAGCGCUUGCCUAGCGAGCGCAAGGCCCUGGGUUCGGUCCCCAGCUCCGAAAAAAAAGAAGAAAGGAAAAAAAAGGAA
rnacentral:lncRNA from 1 species